AACGCUGGCGGCAUGCCUUACACAUGCAAGUCGAACGGCAGCGCGGGAGCAAUCCUGGCGGCGAGUGGCGAACGGGUGAGUWAUAUUAUCGGAACGUGCCCAGUAGUGGGGGAUAGCCCGGCGAAAGCCGGAAUUAAUACCGCAUACGACCUGAGGGUGAAAGCGGGGGAUCGCAAGACCUCGCGCUACUGGAGCGGCCGAUAUCAGAUUAGCUAGUUGGUGGGGUAAAGGCCUACCAAGGCAACGAUCUGUAGUUGGUCUGAGAGGACGACCAGCCACACUGGGACUGAGACACGGCCCAGACUCCUACGGGAGGCAGCAGUGGGGAAUUUUGGACAAUGGGCGCAAGCCUGAUCCAGCAAUGCCGCGUGCAGGAAGAAGGCCUUCGGGUUGUAAACUGCUUUUGUCAGGGAAGAAAUCUUCUGGGCUAAUACCCCGGGAGGAUGACGGUACCUGAAGAAUAAGCACCGGCUAACUACGUGCCAGCAGCCGCGGUAAUACGUAGGGUGCGAGCGUUAAUCGGAAUUACUGGGCGUAAAGCGUGCGCAGGCGGCUUUGCAAGACAGGGGUGAAAUCCCCGGGCUCAACCUGGGAACUGCCUUUGUGACUGCAAGGCUAGAGUACGGCAGAGGGGGAUGGAAUUCCGCGUGUAGCAGUGAAAUGCGUAGAUAUGCGGAGGAACACCGAUGGCGAAGGCAAUCCCCUGGGCCUGUACUGACGCU
rnacentral:rRNA from 1 species